rnacentral:rRNA from 1 species
GACGAACGCUGGCGGCGUGCCUAAUACAUGCAAGUAGAACGCUGAAGAGAGGAGCUUACUCUUCUUGGAUGAGUUGCGAACGGGUGAGUAACGCGUAGGUAACCUGCCUUGUAGCGGGGGAUAACUAUUGGAAACGAUAGCUAAUACCGCAUAACAAUGGAUGACACAUGUCAUUUAUUUGAAAGGGGCAAUUGCUCCACUACAAGAUGGACCUGCGUUGUAUUAGCUAGUAGGUGAGGUAAUGGCUCACCUAGGCGAAGAUACAUAGCCGACCUGAGAGGGUGAUCGGCCACACUGGGACUGAGACACGGCCCAGACUCCUACGGGAGGCAGCAGUAGGGAAUCUUCGGCAAUGGGGGCAACCCUGACCGAGCAACGCCGCGUGAGUGAAGAAGGUUUUCGGAUCGUAAAGCUCUGUUGUAAGUCAAGAACGGGUGUGAGAGUGGAAAGUUCACACUGUGACGGUAGCUUACCAGAAAGGGACGGCUAACUACGUG